AUGGCCAGCCAUAGACCUGGCCUUGCCAAACUACAACCACACUGUAAACAGGUCAGUGUAACUCAAUUCUCUAGUAAUGACUUAGGAGAGUCUGGCAACUUCAUGGGUCAUGGAGGAAACUUUGGAGGUGGUGGUAACUUUGGCCAUGGUGGAAACUUCGGUGGAAGAGGAGGCUAUGGUGGUGGAGGUGGUGGCAGCAGAGGUAGUUAUGGAGGAGGUGAUGGUGGAUAUAAUGGAUUUGGAGGUGAUGGUGGCAACUGGUGGUGGUCCUGGUUAUAGUAGUAGAGGAGGCUAUGGUGGUGGUGGACCAGGAUAUGGAAACCAAGGAGGCAGAUAUGGAGGUGGUGGUGGAGGAUAUGAUGGUUACAAUGAAGGAGGAACUUUUGGAGGUGGUAACUAUUGUGGUGGUGGGAACUAUAAUGAUUUUGGAAAUUAUAGUGGACAACAGCAAUCAAAUUAUGGACCCAUGAAGGGGGGCAGUUUUGGUGGAAGAAGCUCAGGCAGUCCCCAUGGUGGUGGUUAUGGAUCCGGUGGUGGAAGUGGUGGAUAUGGUAGCAGAAGUUUCUAAAAAAAAUUCAGAAGAAAAGGGCUACAGCUCUUAGCAAGAGAGACAGCAAGGAGUGGUCAGGAAAGCUGCAGGUUGCUUUGAGACAGUCGUCCCACAGGCAUUAGGGGAACUGUAAAAAUCUGCCACAGAAGGAACGAUGAUCCAUAGUCAGAAAAGUUACUGCAGCUUAAACAGGAAACCCUUCUUGUUCAGGACUGUCAUAGUCACAGUUUGCAAAAAGUGCAGCUACUGAUUAAUGCAAUGUAGUGUCAAUUACAUGUACAUUCCUGAGGUCUUUUCUCUGUUGUAGCUUUGUCAUUUUCUUUUUCUUUUCAUUACAUCAGGUAUAUUGCCCUGUAAAUUGUGGUAGUGGUACCAGGAAUAAAAAAUUAAGGAAUUUUUAACUUUUCAAUAUUUGUGUAGUUCAGUUUUUCUACAUUUUAGUACAGAAACUUUAACAAAAUGCAGUUUUGAAGGUGUUUCCUUGUGAGUUAACAAGUAAAGAAGAUCAUUGUUAAUUACUAUUUUGUAUGAAUUUUGCUAAAGUUAACUGUAAAGAAACACCAGCUGACUUGAAGUUUAAGGGGAAUCUAUUCUCCACAUUUCCAACCCAUGAAAUGAAGGGGCUCUGACAUGUGGAGACAAUAGAUAUUUGUAUGUUUGCAAUGUGUGUUUUAGAUAAAUAGAAUUGGGUAUUUAAAUUAGCAUAUUUGUGAAAUUAAUAGCAUUAAGAUUUACCUU